CCCUAGCCCUGAUGGAAGCGGCAUCCUUUUGUUUUUUCUUUAAAAAAUAAAAGAUACAGCGCACAGCAGGAAAUAGC
rnacentral:sRNA from 1 species